rnacentral:lncRNA from 1 species
UGGAUUGCUUCUCAUCUCCUCCCAAUCCUUACACAAACAUCUAUAUAAGGCGGCACUCGACGGCCAUAGAAAUCAUCAAGCUCGAAACCAAAGACAUCUGAAUUAAACAAGUUAUCAGCAAGAGCAAGAGAAUAUGUCUGGGUACCGCAGGUCUCAAAUUCGCUACACCCCAACAGGAGGGCCGACUUUUAACAGGAAUGCUUCCGAUGGAUCCCAAGCCAACACUGUCGGGUGCGGGAACCAAGUCGAUUCUAGGAUGAACGAUUGUUAUGGUAACUAUAAACACGACACCACCCAGAAUUACAGUGGUAAGUUUGCUAACUUCAAUGCUGGAGAGCACAAUAACUCCAAGAACGAUCUGGGUGGAACUUUCAAUAUGUAAGGAGAGCUGGAAGGAUUAGUGUUCUUACAUUCAUGUAAUGUAAGACUUCUAUGUAUGAAGUAAUUAAAUAAAACGAGGCUCCUAGGUCUCUUUUCGUUUUACUAAUUUUCUUCGUUAUUGCGAACUAAUCAUAUUUUCUUCUUCAAAAUUAAAUAACAAACUAGUUAACGAUAAACAUGCAAUCGAAACACCAUUUGAAGAAUGUAAAUUAGAGAUCAUCUGUAACUUUUCUGAAAUUCGUUAACUUUGACUUAGGAUAACCCCUUCUUGUUCAUUAAAAUUGGUUCCUGAACUUCAGUCUACUGCGAGACGAGUUCUUCAACUCAAAAGGUUGUUCAUUAACCGUGUCUAAGAAGUAAUUACUAAAGUAAAAUUCAGCUCUGCCGAAACUCGGAAAUUGGACGUGCGUAGGAUCCAUUUCUGAUUGCAAGUCGAUAGCCAGGACAAGUUCUGACCUUCGUUUGUGGGAUUGGCCAUGCACAGCACUGUAGAAAUUCUCAAUACAAAAUUCCCAAAACAAAGUGGAACAAGUAAUAAACUCUAAUCCUCUCUUUUCUAAUACAUUCACUAAGUAUAAGAAACAUUCGAGCUCAGGAACAAGGCUACUAAGACUGUAUCUUGGCGUUGGAAUUGCUCUCCGGUUCUCGACUACUACCACGUCUGGACGGAAGCAUGCUGGAUUCUUGAAACCAUGAAUGGACUUCUUUAAAUUGUAUUCUAGUAAUUCUAUGUACUAAUAAUUCAGUAAAACUUUUUUUUUCUUAUAAAAAAGAUUAUAUUUUAAGAAAUUUAAUGUUAAUAUAUUAACUUAUUAAUAUACUAAGAUGAUACACGAAUAUAAGUUUAUAACAUAUAUUAUUGUAAUUUAAAUUACUAUAUAUUAUUAAUUGUAAGUCAUGAUGCAUACCAAAACAAUUGUGGUAUAGAGCAUAUAUCCACUGGACAUGCCUUAUCUCUAGUGGCUGCGGCUUUCAGAUGCCUCAACUCGGAAUUUGUUUUUUAAUAAAAUCAUACAAGUUAACAUGUGCAAUUUCUUAUCACAUAGUAAUAAUGUAUGAAGAGAUACGAUCAACAUAUAAAGCCGAUUCGUUCUCAUCCCAAGUUGUUACCCUGUCCAUAAGAUAAACAUCUAUAUAAGGCACUCGAUGGGGUGCUCUAAAACUCAUCGAGCCACCGAAUUAAGAGAUUUGGAUUAAACAACUGAUCAACGAGAGUUUCGCCAAUGGCCGGGAGGUAACCUCAAUACAGGAGGCCAAUGCGAUAUGAAAUACCAUACGAGCCAGUCCCAGGGCCUACUUUUAACAACAAUGGCAGCGUUGGAACGCAGGCCAACACUGUUGGAAAUGGUAACUACGUUGAUUCUCGAAUUACCGGCAGUUAUAACCAUCGUAACUACAACAAAACUGAGAAUUACAGUGGUAAAUUUGCUAACUUCAAUGCUGGCAAAUACAACGAUUCAAACAACAAUCUGAGUGGAACUUUCAAUAUGAAAUAAUCUCCCAUGGUCUGCCAUGAGGAGUAACUAAUCUUACGUUCAUGUAAUGUAAGACGUUUAUCUAUGAAGCAAUUAAAUAAAAGAAUGUUCUGCUAUCUGUCUAAUUACUGGCUCUUUUUAUUUAUUUUAUUAGCUAAGUUUUUGUUUAAUGAGUUCAAUUAACCAAAUUGAAAUUUGUAAUCCCAAAAAGUUAUAUCGUAAUCCUGAUUAGAAUCAAUAUGAGAAUCUAUAGUAACUUAUAUAUUUGUAAAGAAACUGAUAAAAGAAGUACACUGCAGCAAGAACUUCAUAACCGAGUAAGAAACUUGUAUGUCGAAAAAUAUAAGAUGCUCCAGAAGCACAAAUGAAUUACAAGGUAUAAUAAAUUAUUAACAAAUUUUGAAUUUUGGUUCUAUGAUUUUUUGACAAAAUUUUGAAACAAAUCAAUUAUAUUUAUCAAGUCUACCAACUUAUUUGUGUUCUUGGAAUACCUGAUGAUUGUUAUCAUCAGAGCUCUCUUUUUACCCUAUAACUAAAAGUAUGAGUUGAAUUAUCAACCAGAUCCUUGUUAAGUCUGCAAAGAGAUCGUAACACAAUGCGAGGAACCUGUCCUGAUUUAGAAAGAACUAAAGAAGAAUUUGGAAGUACAUGAACGAAGAACAAGAAAGGAUUUGGAGAGAAUAAGAAAAAAUAGCAGAAGAUUUAGAGAUAAGAAAAAUUAAGAAGAGAAUAAGAAAUCCUAGACGACUGAUUCAAUUCAAAAGGAUUUGUGUUUACAAAAAUUAUCUGCUCAUAAUCUCCAUUUCUUUCUCUUUUAUAUCAGUUUCUCUAAUAGCAGCAAAGCAGAAAUUACAACUAUUCUCUAAUUAAUUUUCAUUAAUCCAGACAACCAAACUAGUUAUUAUCUCCAAAACUAACCAAUAUGAAAUUUGGGUCCUGACACAUACAACAUGGCAAGCUUUAUCUAAUCGAUCUCUCAUGUUGAGAUUUUCACCCAGAUCAUUUUGGAGUCACAUUUCCCUUGGUUGAAAUUGGCAAAUUUACUUCUGUAAUUCUUAGUACUGGGUGUGUAGGCGUGUUGUAAGACUUAGUGAGGGAAAAUGUUCGGAUAGUUGUUGUCUCCAACAGUUUUCGGCCUGGGGAGAUAAUGCUUGCCAUUGUUGUUAAAGAUAGGCCCUGGAACAUGCCAACGCUACGAACAUUGCACGUGUAGUUUUAUUCUAUUCUCAAACUGUUCUAUCAAAGAAUUCGAGCAUACAAGUAUUCGGAAAAUAGCAAGCACUAAUAAAGAACAACGGCUUGUAGAUAUUAGCCAACAUGAUAUUUUUUCUUUUUCCCCCUUUUGAGGAUAUAUGCUCAUCCCAAUUGCGAGGAAUGUGAUUCUACGAACUAAAUUCUAUAUUACUUUAUACUCUACUUUGGAGGAAAGAAGAAAAACAAGUUUCUGCAAAAUUUUUCUAUAAUUUUUUUCUGACAAAGACUUGAAUUAGACUCUGAAAAUGUUCAUUUCUAGUUUUGUAGCAGCUAAUUGUAAUUUCUGUAAGAACACAUAGAUAUAUACCAAUAGAAAUAAUAACUAUUGAGGUAAAAGGGUCAAAAGACCCAAAAUGAAUAAUGCAUGUAAUUGAUUACACACACACACACUCAUAUAUAUAUAUAUAUAUAUAUUCUACUGUUAGUAGUAGAUCUUCUUGAAUUCCAGAAGAAACCAACUUACCCCAAUAUAGAGAGCUUUAGAAACAAAAUUUUUACCUCUAGUGCGUCGGAUGCUUUAGUAACAACUUUAUGUCUAGUGCGUUGGUAGUGCUUAUUGCUUUCAGAUGCCUCUUUUUAUCUCCUGGAAUUUCUUAUCAAAUCAGUCGAAUUUUUAGUCCGAUAAUGAUGGAUUGCUUCUCAUCUCAUCCCAGUCCUUACAUAAAUGUCUAUAUAAGGUGGCACUCGACGGCCAUUAAAAAUCAUCAAGCUCGAAAUUAAAGACAUCUGAAUUAAACAAGUGAUCAGCAAGAGUAGGAGAAAAUGUCUGGCUACAGAAAUGCUCAAAUCCGUUACACCCCGACCGGAGGGCCUACUUUUAACAGAAAUGCUUCCAGUGGGUCUGAAGCAAACACUGUUGGGAACUGUAACAAAGUCGAUUCUCGGAUGAACGAUUGUUACAAUGAGCAUAAAUAUGAUACCACUCAGCACUACAGUGGUAAGUUUGCUAACUUCAAUGCUGGAGAGCACAAUGAUUCCAAGAACAAUCUGAGUGGAACUUUCAAUAUGUAAGGAGAGCUGGAAGGAUAAAUAAUCUUACAUUCAUGCAAUGUAAGACUUCUUAUGUAUGAAGCUAUGAAAUAAAACAAGGCUCUCUUUUAUAUAUAUUCUAUUUAGCUUCUUCAUUUUUCGAGCUAAUAUGUUGCGUUUCCAAAUAUGAAUAAUUAACAUGAAGAAUUGCGCCAACCCGUAAGAUUACAGAUUAAGUUUACUUGUCCGAAAUUUGGUGGUUAUAUCGCACUCUCACACAAAAGAAAGGGAACUCAAUUACAUUUCCAAAAAAUCACUUAAAAAAACAACUUAAGAAAUCAUUUGGUGAACUCAAAGUAGAAUCGUAAACUCAACUGAAGCGUAAUCGAACACAACUAUGUAACUAGAGAGGAUUUUUUGCACCGAAAACCGAAC